rnacentral:rRNA from 1 species
ACGAGCUUAGACUCGUUGCGGAAAGCUCAGUAACACGUGGUCAAUCUACCCUACGGAGAACGAUAACCUCGGGAAACUGAGGCUAAUAGUUCACAGGGGAGUCACGCUGGAAUGCCGACUCUCCUAAACGCUCAGGCGCCGUAGGAUGUGGCUGCGGCCGAUUAGGUAGACGGUGGGGUAACGGCCCACCGUGCCGAUAAUCGGUACGGGUUGUGAGAGCAAGAGCCCGGAGACGGAAUCUGAGACAAGAUUCCGGGCCCUACGGGGCGCAGCAGGCGCGAAACCUUUACACUGCACGCAAGUGCGAUAAGGGGACCCCAAGUGCGAGGGCAUAUAGCCCUCGCUUUUCCCGUACUGUAAGGCGGUCGGGGAAUAAGAGCUGGGCAAGACCGGUGCCAGCCGCCGCGGUAAUACCGGCAGCUCGAGUGAUGACCGAUAUUAUUGGGCCUAAAGCGUCCGUAGCCGGCCACGAAGGUCCAUCGGGAAAUCCGCCAGCUUAAACUGGCGGGCGUCCGGUGGAAACCACGUGGCUUUGGGACCGGAAGGCUCGAGGGGUACGUCCGGGGUAGGAGUGAAAUCCUGUAAUCCUGGACGGACCACCGAUGGCGAAAGCACCUCGAGAAGACGGAUCCCGACKGUGAGGGACGAAAGCUAGGGUCUCGAAACCGGAUUAGAUACCCGGGUAGUCCUAGCUGUAAACGAUGCUCGCUAGGUGUGGCACAGGCUACGAGCCUGUGCUGUGCCGUAGGGAAGCCGAGAAGCGAGCCGCCUGGGAAGUACGUCCGCAAGGAUGAAACUUAAAGGAAUUGGCGGGGGAGCACUACAACCGGAGGAGCCUGCGGUUUAAUUGGACUCAACGCCGGACAUCUCACCAGCUCCGACUAUAGUAAUGACGGUCAGGUUGAUGACCUUACCACGACGCUAUAGAGAGGAGGUGCAUGGCCGCCGUCAGCUCGUACCGUGAGGCGUCCUGUUAAGUCAGGCAACGAGCGAGACCCGCACUUCUAAUUGCCAGCAGCAGUUUGGACUGGCUGGGUACAUUAGAGGGACUGCCGCUGCUAAAGCGGAGGAAGGAACGGGCAACGGUAGGUCAGUAUGCCCCGAAUGAGCUGGGCUACACGCGGGCUACAAUGGUCGAGACAAUGGGUUGCUACCUCGAAAGAGGACGCUAAUCUCCGAAACCCGAUCGUAGUUCGGAUUGAGGGCUGAAACUCGCCCUCAUGAAGCUGGAUUCGGUAGUAAUCGCAUUUCACAAGAGUGCGGUGAAUACGUCCCUGCUCCUUGCACACACCGCCCGUCAAAGCACCCGAGUGAGGUCCGGAUGAGGCUAUGCGAGCAGCCGCAUAGUCGAAUCUGGGCUUCGCAAGGGGGC